GCAAAUAGUAAUUCUGAAUUGUUGCUGAUGUUUUGAAUGAACUGGUAAAACUUGGGUAUGUGUUUAAAAUUAUUUUUGAUAGAAGGUGAGAGGGAGAUGUGGAGAAGCAGAGACUGCGACAUUGCUUCACUUUUUGUGAAGCUUCCUCCCCGCAGGUAGGGCUUAGGGAUUUGAACCUGGGUCCUUGCUUAUAGUAAGAUUAUGUUCUGCAUGUACAUAUAUUAUCUAACUACAUCCAUACUGCUACAACAUACCACACCUUUUUGUGAGCACAAGGCAUUUAUUUUUGCAGACAAGACUGUGGUGGUAAGAAGACAGUCACAGAGAGUGGAUGUAUUCACUUGAGAAAAAACUGGCUGUCGAUCUGCUACAGCUUGAUGAAGGUGCCUCCCUGUGCCUGGUGCCUUGUUUAGGCCCUUUCUGCUCACACAGGCUGUUGCAUCUGAGCCCUUCGCCUGGGUGCAGCCAGGCCAGGUCCUCAUCCAGGAGACGCUGAGCUGCUGGAUGUGCUUCCUGACCAAGGGGGAGAGCAGGCACAAGAGUGCAGUGUGUCCCUCUCUCCUGAGGGCAGAGCCAAGCUGCAAGCUCGCUCAGAGAGACUCUGUGACCAGUUCCUGUAUGGGAAGGAAGCCUUUCCAGCAGAUCCUCCUCUGCUGACUGAGAGAGCUGUGCAGCGGGUGGGGGCAGCCCUUCUGAUGUGCCCAGUUUGGAUGGGGCAUCCACACCUACAGCCCGUUCCAGUGUCUGGGCCUCCGUGGGAGAAAGUGCUGUGGCCACUUGACACCUUCACAAGGUUCUAAAGAUG